UUAAGCGACUAAGCGUACACGGUGGAUGCCCUGGCAGUCAGAGGCGAUGAAGGACGUGCUAAUCUGCGAAAAGCGUCGGUAAGGUGAUAUGAACCGUUACAGCCGGCGAUGUCCGAAUGGGGAAACCCAGUGCAAUUCGUUGCACUAUCGUUAACUGAAUACAUAGGUUAACGAGGCGAACCGGGGGAACUGAAACAUCUAAGUACCCCGAGGAAAAGAAAUCAACCGAGAUUCCCCCAGUAGCGGCGAGCGAACGGGGAGCAGCCCAGAGUCUGAAUCAGCUUGUGUGUUAGUGGAACGGUCUGGAAAGUCCGACGGUACAGGGUGAUAGUCCCGUACACCAAAAUGCACAGGUUGUGAACUCGAAGAGUAGGGCGGGACACGUGGUAUCCUGUCUGAAUAUGGGGGGACCAUCCUCCAAGGCUAAAUACUCCUGACUGACCGAUAGUGAACCAGUACCGUGAGGGAAAGGCGAAAAGAACCCCGGCGAGGGGAGUGAAAAAGAACCUGAAACCGUGUACGUACAAGCAGUGGGAGCACCUUUAUGGUGUGACUGCGUACCUUUUGUAUAAUGGGUCAGCGACUUAUAUUCUGUAGCAAGGUUAACCGUAUAGGGGAGCCGCAGGGAAACCGAGUCUUAACUGGGCGUUAAGUUGCAGGGUAUAGACCCGAAACCCGGUGAUCUAGCCAUGGGCAGGUUGAAGGUUGGGUAACACUAACUGGAGGACCGAACCGACUAAUGUUGAAAAAUUAGCGGAUGACUUGUGGCUGGGGGUGAAAGGCCAAUCAAACCGGGAGAUAGCUGGUUCUCCCCGAAAGCUAUUUAGGUAGCGCCUCGUGAACUCAUCUUCGGGGGUAGAGCACUGUUUCGGCUAGGGGGUCAUCCCGACUUACCAACCCGAUGCAAACUACGAAUACCGAAGAAUGUUAUCACGGGAGACACACGGCGGGUGCUAACGUCCGUCGUGAAGAGGGAAACAACCCAGACCGCCAGCUAAGGUCCCAAAGUCAUGGUUAAGUGGGAAACGAUGUGGGAAGGCACAGACAGCCAGGAUGUUGGCUUAGAAGCAGCCAUCAUUUAAAGAAAGCGUAAUAGCUCACUGGUCGAGUCGGCCUGCGCGGAAGAUGUAACGGGGCUAAACCAUGCACCGAAGCUGCGGCAGCGACACGAUGUGUUGUUGGGUAGGGGAGCGUUCUGUAAGCCUGCGAAGGUGACCUGUGAGGGUUGCUGGAGGUAUCAGAAGUGCGAAUGCUGACAUAAGUAACGAUAAAGCGGGUGAAAAGCCCGCUCGCCGGAAGACCAAGGGUUCCUGUCCAACGUUAAUCGGGGCAGGGUGAGUCGACCCCUAAGGCGAGGCCGAAAGGCGUAGUCGAUGGGAAACAGGUUAAUAUUCCUGUACUUGGUGUUACUGCGAAGGGGGGACGGAGAAGGCUAUGUUAGCCGGGCGACGGUUGUCCCGGUUUAAGCAUGUAGGCUGGUUAUCCAGGCAAAUCCGGAUAAUCAAGGCUGAGGUGUGAUGACGAGGCACUACGGUGCUGAAGUAACAAAUGCCCUGCUUCCAGGAAAAGCCUCUAAGCAUCAGGUAACACGAAAUCGUACCCCAAACCGACACAGGUGGUCAGGUAGAGAAUACCAAGGCGCUUGAGAGAACUCGGGUGAAGGAACUAGGCAAAAUGGUGCCGUAACUUCGGGAGAAGGCACGCUGGUGUGUAGGUGAAGUCCCUGCGGAUGGAGCUGAGACCAGUCGAAGAUACCAGCUGGCUGCAACUGUUUAUUAAAAACACAGCACUGUGCAAACACGAAAGUGGACGUAUACGGUGUGACGCCUGCCCGGUGCCGGAAGGUUAAUUGAUGGGGUUAUCCGUAAGGAGAAGCUCUUGAUCGAAGCCCCGGUAAACGGCGGCCGUAACUAUAACGGUCCUAAGGUAGCGAAAUUCCUUGUCGGGUAAGUUCCGACCUGCACGAAUGGCGUAAUGAUGGCCAGGCUGUCUCCACCCGAGACUCAGUGAAAUUGAACUCGCUGUGAAGAUGCAGUGUACCCGCGGCAAGACGGAAAGACCCCGUGAACCUUUACUAUAGCUUGACACUGAACAUUGAGCCUUGAUGUGUAGGAUAGGUGGGAGGCUUUGAAGCGUGGACGCCAGUCUGCGUGGAGCCAACCUUGAAAUACCACCCUUUAAUGUUUGAUGUUCUAACGUUGGCCCCUGACCGGGGUUGCGGACAGUGUCUGGUGGGUAGUUUGACUGGGGCGGUCUCCUCCCAAAGCGUAACGGAGGAGCACGAAGGUUAGCUAAUCCUGGUCGGACAUCAGGAGGUUAGUGCAAUGGCAUAAGCUAGCUUGACUGCGAGCGUGACGGCGCGAGCAGGUGCGAAAGCAGGUCAUAGUGAUCCGGUGGUUCUGAAUGGAAGGGCCAUCGCUCAACGGAUAAAAGGUACUCCGGGGAUAACAGGCUGAUACCGCCCAAGAGUUCAUAUCGACGGCGGUGUUUGGCACCUCGAUGUCGGCUCAUCACAUCCUGGGGCUGAAGUAGGUCCCAAGGGUAUGGCUGUUCGCCAUUUAAAGUGGUACGCGAGCUGGGUUUAGAACGUCGUGAGACAGUUCGGUCCCUAUCUGCCGUGGGCGCUGGAGAAUUGAGGGGGGCUGCUCCUAGUACGAGAGGACCGGAGUGGACGCAUCACUGGUGUUCGGGUUGUCAUGCCAAUGGCACUGCCCGGUAGCUAAAUGCGGAAGAGAUAAGUGCUGAAAGCAUCUAAGCACGAAACUUGCCCCGAGAUGAGUUCUCCCUGAGACUUUAAGUCUCCUGAAGGAACGUUAAAGACGAUGACGUUGAUAGGCCGGGUGUGUAAGCGCAGCGAUGCGUUGAGCUAACCGGUACUAAUGAACCGUGAGGCUUAACCUU
rnacentral:rRNA from 2 species